CCAAAACACAAACCUGUGAGGUGCCGCGUUUAGUGAGAGGACUGCUGCAGAAACAAACGACGGUGAUAGAAGGGGAUGCUGUGUGAUCAAGCUGUUGGGGCUUUGGAGUAGUCCUUGGUGAAGGACUGUCUAGAGAUAAAACAUCAGGCAUUAUUCCUCAGAAACUGGACAGGGUCAAGCUCAUGGCCUGUGGCUCCAUCUGUAAUAGUGUGUAGAAGCAGCCUGACUGCUGUAGGAGGAAAUUGAAUUCUAGAAGAUUCAGCUUGUGCAACAGCUGAGCCUCAUUUUGCAGUAAGCGAUGCCAUAGAAAAACACUGAGGAGGCAAUGCAUUUAAAAAACCCCAUUAGCCUAAUUUUUCAAAUUCUCUGGAAAAAAAAAAUACCAUGUGUCCACCUCAUAUGCCUUUUGCCAGUCAUAUCACCAUCAGAGGAUAAUGAUUCUCAGUCUUAUCAUUAAAAGUUGCCCCAGGGCUUUGUCA